UACGAAGGGGGCUAGCGUUGUUCGGAAUUACUGGGCGUAAAGCGUGCGCAGGCGGUCUCUCAAGUCAGGGGUGAAAGCCAGAGCUCAACUCUGGAACUGCCCUUGAAACUGUGAGGCUCGAGUACGGGAGAGGUGAGUGGAAUUCCCAGUGUAGAGGUGAAAUUCGUAGAUAUCGGGAGGAACACCAGUGGCGAAGGCGGCGACCUGGACGGACAUUGACGCUGAGACGCGAAAGCGUGGGGAGCAAACAGG
rnacentral:rRNA from 1 species